GCUGGCGGCGUGCCUAACACAUGCAAGUCGAACGAGAAAGUGGAGCGAUCCAUGAGUAAAGUGGCGACCGGGUGAGUAACACGUGACUAACCUACCUUCGAGUGGGGGAUAACCUAGGGAAACCUGGGCUAAUACCGCAUAAUAUCUUUGGAUCGGAAGAACUGGAGAUCAAAGGAGCAAUUCGCUUGAAGAGGGGGUCGCGGCUGAUUAGCUAGUUGGCGGGGUAAUGGCCCACCAAGGCUUUGAUCGGUAGCCGGCCUGAGAGGGCGCACGGCCACACUGGAACUGAAACACGGUCCAGACUCCUACGGGAGGCAGCAGUGGGGAAUUUUGCGCAAUGGGGGAAACCCUGACGCAGCAACGCCGCGUGGAGGAUGAAGUCCCUUGGGACGUAAACUCCUUUCGACCGGGACGAUUAUGACGGUACCGGUGGAAGAAGCCCCGG
rnacentral:rRNA from 1 species